rnacentral:rRNA from 1 species
AUGCCGUCGUGGCCGUUCCCCUCACUGGAAUCCGCCAGCCGCCGCCCUUCAAUCCGCUACCUCCAGAGCAUCCCCGACCUCUCCCUUGCAUCUGUUUGCCUCUGGACCCCGAGACUGCCGGCGAACUCCAGUUCGACUACGGUGUUGACGACUGCUCUCUCUUGCCAGAGCAACCAGACGUUGGAGCCCAGGAGCCAGAUGCCACUGUCGACGAUGACUUCUACUACUCGGGAGGUGCCUACUACUACCUGCAGCCCGUUGACGGCGAUCAGGAGUAGUUUAGGAGGAUCCCAGGCAGGAGGCUUGUGCCUCUUUUGA